rnacentral:pre_miRNA from 1 species
AUUGGAGCUGAGAUUCUGCGGGAUGGAUUAGGAGUAUAUUGUCCUCCCACAGGCCCAGCUCAUAGC